rnacentral:tRNA from 1 species
GGGGUUGUGGCUCAGCGGUAGAGCACUCGCCUAGCAUGCAUGAGGCACUAGGUUCAAUCCUCAGCACCA